ensembl:snRNA U5 U5 spliceosomal RNA
ACUCUGGUCUCUCUUCAUAGUGCAUGAAACUUUUGCCUUUUACUAAAGAUUUCUGUGGGGAGAUACCAAGAACAUACAUUGGAGAAAGGACUGUCUUCACCAUAAAUGGUGUU